GAUUAAGUUAUUAAGGGCGCACGGUGGAUGCCUUGGCACUAGAAGCCGAUGAAGGACGUUACUAACGACGAUAUGCUUUGGGGAGCUGUAAGUAAGCUUUGAUCCAGAGAUUUCCGAAUGGGGAAACCCAGCAUGAGUUAUGUCAUGUUAUCGAUAUGUGAAUACAUAGCAUAUCAGAAGGCACACCCGGAGAACUGAAACAUCUUAGUACCCGGAGGAAGAGAAAGAAAAUUCGAUUCCCUUAGUAGCGGCGAGCGAAACGGGAAGAGCCCAAACCAACAAGCUUGCUUGUUGGGGUUGUAGGACACUCUAUACGGAGUUACAAAGGACGACAUUAGACGAAUCAUCUGGAAAGAUGAAUCAAAGAAGGUAAUAAUCCUGUAGUCGAAAAUGUUGUCUCUCUUGAGUGGAUCCUGAGUACGACGGAGCACGUGAAAUUCCGUCGGAAUCUGGGAGGACCAUCUCCUAAGGCUAAAUACUCUCUAGUGACCGAUAGUGAACCAGUACCGUGAGGGAAAGGUGAAAAGCACCCCGGAAGGGGAGUGAAAUAGAACCUGAAACCGUGUGCUUACAAGUAGUCAGAGCCCGUUAAUGGGUGAUGGCGUGCCUUUUGUAGAAUGAACCGGCGAGUUACGAUUUGAUGCAAGGUUAAGCAGUAAAUGUGGAGCCGUAGCGAAAGCGAGUCUGAAUAGGGCGUUUAGUAUUUGGUCGUAGACCCGAAACCAGGUGAUCUACCCUUGGUCAGGUUGAAGUUC
rnacentral:rRNA from 1 species